rnacentral:lncRNA from 1 species
GAACACACAAAUUUAAUUCUCUCUCUUUUCUGUAUUUUCAUUUAUUUUACUGACAUCAAGUACAGAGAAUUGGAUUUGGGGUUAGUCAUAAUUCUGGUUCCUGCCAUAGUCAUCACUGUUGCAUUUAACAUGAGGUCUGCUUUUAGUGAGUUAGUUCUUGAAUUAAUAAGUUUUUAAUAAUGUAAUAAGCCUGAUGGACCUACCACCUCAAACAAAAAAGCAAAGCCCUUGACAAUAACCUCCAUGCAGCCCUGCGGCCCAUCCCACCCUGUCUCCUUGCCUCCCCACACCCAGAAUAACCAGGCUCCUGCAGUUCUGGACCGGAUUGGAGGCACUGCUGUCACAGUCUUCUAAACCAUUUUGUGAGCCCAGCGCUUGAGGAGAACUUAAUUGUCUGAAUCUCAAGAGCUUCUGCAAACCCCUGAUGCCUGUGAAGUGCUGUUAUCUAAAAGAAACCC